UACGUAGGGUGCGAGCGUUAAUCGGAAUUACUGGGCGUAAAGCGUCCGCAGGUGGUCGUGCAAGUGCCGUGUGAAAGCGCUCGGCUUAACUGAGCGAGGCCAUGGCAGACUGCUCGACUCGAGACCGGGAGAGGUCGGUGGAAUUGCCGGUGUAGUGGUGAAAUGCGUAGAGAUCGGCAGGAACACCCAAGGGGAAGCCAGCUGACUGGCCCGGUACUGACACUCAGGGACGACAGCGUGGGGAGCGAACCGG
rnacentral:rRNA from 1 species